UUUGCCAAUGCCCUGGAAAGGACAUAACACUUAUCCAAGGUGUAAGAAUAUUUAUCGCUGAUUAUCAUGCCAGUCUAAAUCCAGUGAACUGACAAAUCGGGGAAUAAACUUUCGAACAUAUAAUCAAGAUUAUAUUCCACUGUGCUGACAACACUAUAAUCAUUAACAAAUUCAUAUGUUCUGGACUUAAAUAGAAUUUAUACAUUAUAUAUAUAAUCAUGAAAUAAAUCAUGUGAACCAUGCAACAUAAAAUGUUAUUUCUGAUCUUUAUUAAUAAGUAAAUCUGAUUAUAUUGAAAUGGGUUUUAUUUAGGGCACAAAACCCAACACUUUAGGUUUGCUAAGGCUCGUUUUUCUUCAAUUUCGUCAAGUGAUUCUUCUAGGAGAGCAUGAUUAGCCUUUUGAUCAUAGGUCAAUCUUCUGUGGGACGGAGGUUCUAGUUCUACGGGCAACAUAGCUUCAUAACCAUAGGCCAUAGCUAAUGGAGUCUGUUGAGUUGUUAUUUUUUCAGUUAUGCGGUAUGACCAUAGUACUUUUGGCAAUUCCUCCGGUCAGUUCCCCUUGGCUUCUUCAAAUCAUUUUUUUCAAAGUAUCUUUAAGUGUCUUAUUGACUGCUUCGACUUGACCAUUUGCUUAAGGGUGUGCCACUGCAGAGAAACUUUUUACGAUUCCAUGGUUCGUGCAGAAAUCAGUGAACAAUUGACUAUCGAACAACAUGCCAUUGUCCGAGACUAUUUUGUACGGGAGCCUGAACCGACAUAUUAUGUUUUUCACCAUGAAGUCUAAUACUUUCUUGGAUGUAAUUGUUGCCAAUGGCUCGGCUUCUGUCCACUCUGUAAAAUAAUCCACUGCGACCACUGCAUAUUGUACUCCCCCUUUACCUUUAGGUUGUUGUCCGAUUAGGUCAAUAUCCCAAAUAGUAAAAGGCCAAGGACUUUGCAUCUAAGUUAGCUCAUUGGACGGUGCACGAAAUAUCUUUGAAAAUCUUUGGCAUUUAUCACAUUUCUUUACAUAGGCCUUUGAAUCUUCCAUCAUGGUCGACAAAAAAUAUCCUUGCCUUAGUAUUUUCUUUGAUAAGCUUUGCCCGGCUGCGUGGUUGCCACAGAAUCCAUCAUGUACUUCAAAUAAAAGUCGUGUAGCUUCUUCUUGUGUAACACAUCGAAGUAGUGGCAUAAAGAAUUCGCUUCUAUACAUGACUCCUUCUACGAUGAUAUACCGUACAUCUUUCCUUCUCAUCUUUCGAGCUUCAUUUCUAUCAUUUGGAAGUUCUUCAGUAUUGAGGUAGGUUGAUAUUGGUGUCAUCCAAUUUGGAGCUGUGUCAAUCAUUUUAAUUUCUUCCGCACAGGUGAUGCUAGGUUCUUCAAGGAAUUGAAUUGGGACUAAAUUAGCCUUAUCAGCUAUGUUGCUGCUCGCAAGUCGGGCUAAGGAAUCAACAGUUGUGUUUUCUUCUCUUGGAAUUUGCCUGAGAGCGUAACUCUUGAAUUGUGCGAGAAGAUCCUAUAUUUCGCUUAAGUAGGCUAUCAUUUUCUCCCCCAGGCCUCAUGUUCUCCUGACACAUGAUUCACUACCAAUUAUGAGUCACUACAGAUCUUGAUGUUUUCAAUGUGCAGCUCUUGAGUAAGUUUCAAGCCAGAAAUGAGGGCUUCGUACUCUACUUCAUUGUUGGAAGCUUUGAAUCCAAUUUUGACUGCCCCGUGCAGGUGUUGCCCUCAGGUGUGACAAGGGCAAUCCCUGCACCAGACAGUUGAUCUGUAGCUGACCCGUCCACGUGUAAUUUCUAGGUAGGUUUGUCUUCAUUGUUGUUUGGUUGGGACUCUUGUACUGGCUUCGAGUUGUCCUUUGAACUGCUUUCUUCUUUGCUUGUGCACUCAACUACAAAGUAUACUAAGGCCUAUCCUUUGACUGUUGUUCGGGGUUGAAAGAUUAUUUCGUACUGACCCAACUCUACUACCCAUUUGAGUAACUGUCCAAAAGCGUCGGGUUUUUGCAAUACUUGGCGUAAUGGUUGGUCAAUGUAUACGCAAACAGGAUGAGCCUAGAAGUAGGGCCUUAAAUUCCUUGUUGUUAAGAUAAGGCAGUAAGUAAGCUUUUCUACCAAUGGGUACUGUCCUUCAGCAUCAACGAGUCUUUUGCUGAUAUAAUAGACUGGAUGCUGGAUGUUUUUUUCUUCUCUGAUCAUCACGACACUCACUGCAUAUUCUGUAACAGCUAAGUAUAUUCCUAACUCGUCUUCGUCCAGAGGUUUUGAGAGUGCGGGAGGUUUUGCAAGUUGUCUUUUUAAUUCUUGAAAGGCAUUCUCGCAUUACUCCGUCCAUUCAAAUUUCUUAUUACCUCGAAGGAUGUUGAAGAAAGGAACACACUUGUAUGUUGACUUUGAAACAAAUCUACUGAGUGCAGCUAUCCAACCAGUUAAGCUUUGGAAUUCUUUAGUUUUGUUGGCGAUUUCAUAUCCAAGAGGGCUUGAAUUUUCUCUAGAUUGGCUUCGAUACCUCGGGCAUUAACAAUAAAACCAAGAAACUUACCUAAGUGACUCCAAAGGAGCACUUUGAGGGAUUGAGUUUCAUAUUGUAUUUUUUGAGGAUUUUGAAGCAUUCAUCUAGGUCAUCUAUAUGCCCUCCAGCCUUCCUAGAUUUAACAAGCAUGUCAUCCACAUAUACUUCCAUAUUUCGUCCGAUUUAGUCUUUAAACAUUUGAUUUUCCAAUCUCUGGUAGGUAGCUCCAGCAUUCUUUAGACCAAACGGCAUGACCUUGUAACAGUACAGACCCAUAUCUGUUCGAAAACUUGUUGUUCUUUGUUUGGUGGAUGCAUUCUGAUUUGAUUAUACACUAAAUAGGCGUCCAUAAAACUUAGGAUUUUGUGCCUGGCGGUUGCAUCCACGAGCUGAUAUAUUCUUGGAAGUGGAAAACAAUCUUUGGGGCAUGCCUUGUUGAGAUCGGUAAAAUCAAUACAUACUCGCCAUGUUAUGUUGGGCUUGGGUACCAGUACGGGGUCAGCUACCCAAGCCUCGUAGAAAGCUUCAAUGAUGAACUUGUUGUUACGCAGCUUUUCUACAUUUUCUUUUAAUGCUUGUGCUCGUUCUUUGUCUAAUAAUCUUCUUUUUUGUUGAAUGGGACAGAAGUUUGGAUCAAUGUUUAGGGCGUGAGAUAUCACAAAAGGAUCGAUACCGACGAUAUCCUCAUGCAACCAGGCAAAAAUGUCUAGGUUUGGUCUUAGAAAUUUUAUUAAAGUUAAUUUUACUUCGAGCAACAAACCUUUGCCAACUUUGAGUUUCCUGGUGGGGACAUUUGGGUCGAUUUCUAUCUCUUCCCAUUUUUCCAAUAGCCCUACAUUUGUGUUUGGUUCCCCAAGUCGGGGAUCCACAUCCUCAUCCCUACCUUGGGCGACUUCCUAUAGGGCAAUACUUUUCCUUUUGUCCAAACUCUGGCCAGAGGAAUUAUCCUUUCUUACCUUGGUCAGGGCAAGAUUAUAGCAUUCUCGUGCAAUUUUUUGAUUUCUUUUGAGGCACCCUACCCCAUUCUUUGUUGGGAACUUGACACACAAAUGAAAAACUGAAGUGACAGCUUUUAAGUCAUAUAGAGCUGGCCGGCCUAACAUGACGUUGAAAGCUGAUGGAACAUCAAUUAUCAGGAAUUGUACCAUCACAUUUAUGCUUUUUGGAGCUUGCCCAAUAGUGAGGGGUAAACGGAGUUGCCCUAAAGGUGUAACACUUUGGCCGGAAAAGCCAUACACCAAUUGAGUACAAGGGAUUAAAUCUUUAAGUUGGAGCCCCAUAUUCUCGUAUGUUGUCUUAAAUAACAUGUUUAAAGAGGCUCCAUUAUCUAUCAUGGUUCUGGCCACUGUUUUAUUUGAUAUAUGUACCUCCACGACCAAGGGAUCUUUGUGCGGGAAGUGGACGCAGACAACAUCUACUUCAGUGAAAGUUAUAGUGGGUUCCCCUAGCCGUGGUAUGUUUGGCUUUCUCUCCUCUACAGCCAAAACUGUUUCUUUUUGCUCAUGCUGUAAGGCUCGGGCAUACCUUUCUCGAGCUUUGCCCGAGUCUCUAUGGGCCUCCAAUAAUAACUUGCAAAUGCCCGUCCACUAGUGGAGGCAUUAGUAGAUCUUGAUUAUUGUCUGUUUGGGUGGCCCUUUAAUUCUGAUUGGCCUUGACGUAUUUUUGCAAAUGCUGGUUAUUCUUUCUAAUUAAGAAUUCAAUAUCCCACUUCAGGUUGUUGCACUCAUUCGUGUCGUGGCCAUAGUCUACAUGAAAAUGAUUGAACUUGGAUGUGUCUCUCUUACUUACGUCCUUCAUGGGAGUAGGUUUUUUGUAUGGGACCAUAGAUGAGUUGUCGCGUAGAUCAUCUCUAGAACGUCAGUUAGGACAGAGAAUGUAGUGAACUUGGAGGUAUUUUCUUUAGAGGUGUGUUCGGCUUUGCCUGUGAACUUUUCCUUUUUCCCGUUGCCUUGCCUACCAUUGUUAUUGGACCUUUUGCAAAGACCGCCUAAGUUUAAUAUGUUGGAUAAUUAGAUAAUUAGGGUUAAUUUAUGAGAUUUAAUUAUUAAUUAUGAUUUGCAUGUUUGUUGAGAAUUAUUUAAUAUUAACAUGUAUUAAUUAUGCUAUGUAUGUGAAUUUCUCAUUUUCUGUGAUUGUCCUCGGUAGCAGUGGAAAGCGACGUUGGGCCAUUAGAGAGUCACGUUUUUUUUGGUUUAGAAUGUUUUUAUUGGUGGAGUGUCAUUGUUAGGUAUUGGAGGUUUUAGGAAUUUUUGGGGUUUGAAAUGACCAAUUUACCUUUGAGAAUAAUUAACUUUUGAAUUAAGUUAAUAGGGGAAAAAGGUCUUUUGACAACGGUUUAUUUUGUCUUAUUUGGGAAUUUAGUUCUGAUUAUUGGUUUAAUUAAAUAAAAAAAAAGAAGGGUUUUACACUUAAGUUAGAAGAAAAACAAGAGAAUCUAGAAAAAAAAACACCUCUCUCUCUCUCUCUACAACACUUUCUUUCUCUCUUAAUAUUUUGUGGCAGCAGCUAGGGUUGGAGUAGUUUGGUCUGAAUUAAGGAUUUUUAGUUGUAAUUGAGUGCUUUGGCUCAAGGUAAUUUUCCCUAGUCUCUUCCUCUUUGUGUUUCUUGCAUGAAAGUUAAGUUUUGGUGUUGAAUUAUGAUUCUAAGUUGUUAUAUGUAUUGCAAAGGUUUGAGAUUGAAUUCUAAGGUUAGGUUGAGAUUAUUAAGGUUGGUUAUAGCUGUUUCAGUUGGUAGUUGUGAGGUUUGGGUGAGGUUGGAGUUUGUGAGCUCAAGCUUUGGGCUCUAAUGGUAUUUUUAUUUUCUGGGUUUGUUUAUUGUGUUUUUAUGCUUGAAUCUGGUUCACUAUAUUGUAUACAGGUAUUCUGGAGAUGAUUGGAGAGUUUGGGGUUGAUUUGUGAUUAAGGGAUCGAUUUUUGGGUUUCCUUGCACUAAACUGGUUAACCAGUUUUAGUGGGACCUAAGAAACUGGGUUAUUCCUUGUUUGAUUGUAAAGUCCCCAAAAAGUGUUUUACAGUGUCUCUCACCAAAAUUACAAAUGAUGUGAUUAAGGGUCCUGUGAAACGUCAAGCUGCAAUUCCACUCAGGCUGACUGGCACACCUGAGCACGGAAAUGAGGUAAGGGAAAAGCUAAGCUGGAGGAGCCGUGUGUUAGAGCUUGGCAAGGAUUGUACAUAUCGCGGCAGCGUAACCUCGAUGGUUUCGGUCUUAUGGCAUUUUGAGAUGCUCUGUAUUUUGUAAAAAACAAUUAUUACGUAACUUUAUAUAUUUAAAUGUAUUUUUCAAAUGUGUUUUAUAUUCAAGAUCCAGACUUAUAAACUAUAUAAAUAUAAUAUGAUAAGAUCAGUUUUAGUUUAGCAAGUUUUUAAAUAAGGGCAUUACGAUUUUGGUAUUAGAGCCACCAGGUUGUUCCCUAAAGACCGUCAAGAUAUGUACAAUUAAAGCCAGUGUCGAGCUCAACUCGCGGCUUCGUAAGCUUUACUUUUUAGCAAACUAUUUAAGAUGUAUUGCAUAUAUGCGUGAAAUGUUACACAAAUUCUAA